rnacentral:lncRNA from 1 species
ACAAAUCUAAUCAUCUUCUUUAUUUGAUUUUUUUUAUUUUUCAUCAAAACUGAUCUAACCAAAACAGAUGAACAUACAACUCAUAUAUAAAUACACAAAAUCAAAAUUAAAAUUUUCAUAUUCCCUUUUAUUAAAAUCUUCAUCUUCCCCAAAUUUUCAUCAAAUUGCACAGCAACCAAUUCUUUAAAAUUAUAAACCAACAAAUAAAAGCAAUUCGAAUUAAUACAAUGAUGAACAUGAUGAACAUGUUGGGCUCUGGAAACACACCCAACAAAAUCCAAAAAGCAAAUAACAUCAUGAAAUAGUCUGAUUUCGCUAGGAGUUCUAAAAGAACAGUGAGAAGAUAUCCAUAAAAAAAAGUACCCAUAAAAAAGUACUAGCCAUAUCUCCAACUCUAGAAACUUAGUUUCUCCGACUAAGAAGCUUGAUUCCCAGAAGCUUUGUGUGUCAAAAAUCUUAAAUACAUACACCGGAAAUUAAAUCAUGGGUUACAAGUAGUCUAGAGAACACUGAACUAACAUUGUAGACUUAUAUAGACAAGACUGAGAAUUUUUUGCCUAUCUGUCAUCACUAUCUAUCAAAGAAGAAAUGAAGAAACAGGCAAGAGAUUAACAUAACUAGUUUACCAUUCAAGUUUUCUUCUUAAAUAAUAUUCCUUGAGCUUUCAAGUCAGAAGAAUCUGGGUCCGAUACGUCUCCGUUUAAGAUCUGGGAACGGCUGGAGCGGUGGUGAUGGGCUGGAAGUACAGAUUCGGAAUUUUGAGGGCAGAAUUUCCAGAUCUGAGAUGUAAAAAUCGAACCCCUUAAAACCGUGAGACCAAAAGGGGGGAGUUGAAUCGAGGGUAACAACGACGUUCUGUGGCUGAUUAUCGUCGUCUUCGUCUUCUCCCUGGUAUGAAACUUCCGUCAUUUUUGAUUUUCCAACGCAGAAAGAACUUGGGGAACCUGUUUUUCCUUUUUCCUUUGAAUUUUUUCUGCUUUUGUGUUUCUGUUAAUCUGAGAGAGAAAAGGAGAUGAGAGGAAAUCGAUUUUUCUAGCUUUUCUUUGGACGUGUAUACAAGAAUCAGAGUGCAGAGAGUUUUCCUCUGUUUGGGAAUUUAUUACAGUAUGUAUUUGCUUAGGGAUUGUUUGGACAGAGGAGGUUGGUUAUCUAGGACGCGAAAGCCACGUAUGACAAG